rnacentral:rRNA from 1 species
UACGUAGGGUGCGAGCGUUGUCCGGAAUUACUGGGCGUAAAGGGCGCGUAGGCGGCGUGCUAAGUCGAACGUGAAAUCCCCGGGCUCAACCCGGGAACUGCGUCCGAGACUGGCAUGCUUGAAUCCGGGAGAGGGAUGUGGAAUUCCAGGUGUAGCGGUGAAAUGCGUAGAUAUCUGGAGGAACAUCGGUGGCGAAGGCGGCAUCCUGGACCGGUAUUGACGCUGAGGCGCGAAAGCCAGGGAGCAAACGGG